rfam:Camelus ferus unplaced genomic scaffold scaffold803, whole genome shotgun sequence.
GAGGGUAUCACUCAGUGGUAGAGUGCAUGCCUAGCAUGCAUGAGGUCCUGGGUUCAACUCCCAGUACCUCUG